UACGUAGGGUGCAAGCGUUGUCCGGAAUUAUUGGGCGUAAAGAGCUCGUAGGCGGUUUGUCGCGUCUGCCGUGAAAGUCCGGGGCUCAACUCCGGAUCUGCGGUGGGUACGGGCAGACUAGAGUGAUGUAGGGGAGACUGGAAUUCCUGGUGUAGCGGUGAAAUGCGCAGAUAUCAGGAGGAACACCUAUUGCGAAGGCAGCUUACUACCCGAAUAUUGACACUGAGGCACGAAAGCGUGGGGAUCAAACAGG
rnacentral:rRNA from 1 species